GCAUUUGUUUAAAACAAAUUGGUUGAGUUUCGUGAUGCUAAAAUCAACUUACGUUCCACUCGAUUGUAUUCCUUAUAUCUUCAGGAAAAAAAAAAGGGGAUGAUUUAGGCUGAUUUAACAUUGACUUUGAAACCAUAUAUCUGUUCUCUUUGUCAUGAAAUAUAAUUCUGUGGGAAAUUUGACCCUUUCCUUAAAGAAUGCAUGAAAUUUUUGCAAAGAUCGUAUCUCCAUUAAAUACCAAAUUUAUUCCAAGUGUUCAUGAAAGACUAGAAUAAAAACUGGGCGAUUAGCUUAAAAUUAUUGCAAAAUUCUAACUGUGCUAGAAAGUUCUCUUUUUCUUUAGUCAUUUGCAACUUGUUGAGGGUGGCGUUAUCUCUGUGUAAAAUAGCAAACAUGAAUUCUGACCUCUACUGCUGACUGUUCUGCCAGAUGUUUCUCAAAAUAAAAGAUAUCGUCUCCGAGAGCUCUGUAAACAAAUCCUGACCUGAAUGCCUCCUUUUGCAUUCCUCCCAAUUUAUCAGAUAAAAUGAAUUCUAUUUUCUUUUCAAACAAGAACUGUAUAACUUCUUUUUAGAGAAAACAGAGAAAUGGAGCAUUAUAAUCGGUGAAACACACUGGAUCUUGGCAGGCAACUCCUAGCAAGGAAGCAUUAUAUUUUGGCUGAGCAUAUUUUGUACUUUUAUCUUGGCUAAAGCCUUUUUAAAAAGAACAUGGUUUCAAAGAAUUUGUUUCUGCUGUUCUAGUCUUGUUUUUCAGAAGAGUUUUAUUAGUCUUAUUCAGUGGUUAGGCUCUUAGACUAUAAGGAAUGUGAAGUCUCCACAUAAAAUUAUUAUACUGAUGUAACUUAAAGGAACUUUUGAAAUGGUAAGGUCUCUAUUCUUUAUAAAAUUUAUAUACAAAAUUUAUGUACAAAAUGCUUUGUAUAAUUUAUGUACAAAAAUGCUAAGGUGAAUGGCCCUGCUGGCAAGAAACAUCCAUGUGAAACUCAACAAGUGUUUGUAUUUUGGAAUUAUGUUUUGUAGAGAU
rnacentral:lncRNA from 1 species